GCUGCCGCCGCCGUGCAGCGGCGCGAACGGGGCGCCCAGCAGCGCAUCCGCGCCGCCGAAGCUCAUCAUGGCCAGAGCAGGAAAGCCCAACGUGUGACCUGAUGGCAGACUAACCUGGAGGAAGAGGUGGGGCAGCCUGGAGUUUUCCUCUGGACAUCCUGAGAGGGAUACUGAAGCACUCAGGAGGGGUCUCAGAGCUGCCCAAGCUCACACACGCGGUUUGAGAAGAGCUGCGCUUAGACCACAGGCCUCUUGGCUCCUGGGAAACUGAGAGCAUCGGCUGGAGUUCAUCAGACAGGGGCAAGUCCCAACCGCAGCUCAGUGACCUCAGACGAACCCCCUCACCUCACAGGACCAGGUGCCAGCCCAGUGAACAGAGUUACUAAUAACAGCAGCCCCAGCGUACUGAGAGCUUACACCCUAUUGGGCUCUUCACAUGCGUCAGCCCAGGAAGCCUUCCCUGCAACUUUGCCAGGUAGGUUCUGUUAUUACCUCCAAUUUACAGAUGGGAAAACUAAGGCACAGAGCAGUAAAUAUUGUGGGCCUACGUCACAGAACUCCAAAGUGGCAGGGCCUGCCUCUACUUGGUGAUGUGUGUGGGGACGCUGCAAGCAGUUCAGUGGGGCUGACUGUCUUCAUCAUGGUGGGAUUGGCUCCAGGAGGGAUGGCGGAGAUAUGAGGCCAGACAGGGCACAGGGCUCUGUUCUGAGGGACCUUGAGGCCUCAGGAGGGCUUUGCACUUUAUCCAGGAAUCCCAGCAGCCAUGAGAGGGUCGUAAGCAGGAGGGGCAUCUGGUUGGGUUCCUUUAGCCAGGAAGAUGGGGAGGCUGGUGGCAGAGAAGUCCACUGAAGGCUUUAAUGCCACUCAGGCCAGGGAGGCAGGGCCCAGAUGAGCCAGUGACAGGAGUAGUGGAGAGAGAGUGCGGGGUAGACACAGCUGAAGGGACAGUAGGCAACGCUGAGUAGCCUUGGUUAGCUCAGCACGUUUCUUUGGGUUGAAAUGCAUUAGAUAUUUUCAAAAGUUGGUUUAUAAUCAAAUAAAAAAAGAAAUGCAUCAGAUAGAGCCUGACAUGGGAUUGGUGAGUGGUCAGGAAGUCCAGCUCAGCAUACAGCGGGCGCCAAACGUAUACUCAGAACUCAUCUCAGCAGGCAUUACAGGGGCUGUCUGAGUGCAUCCCGGAGUGUAUACAUUUGUCCAGGUGGAACACCUGUAGUUUCCAUGGUGGGGUCUACCACAGGCAUUUCUGAGUCCUGACCGCCCUGAGCUGUUGUUUUUUCACCAUUUCUUUCUUUAGCUCAACUGCCAUUAUUUAUCCUUUCUCAAAACCAGAUCCUGGCCGGGUGCAGUGGCUCAUACCUGUAAUCCCAGCACUUUGGGAGGCUGAGGUGGGUGGAUCACC